rnacentral:rRNA from 1 species
CCCCUAGUAACGGCGAGUGAAGCGGGAAGAGCUCAAAUUUGAAAUCUGGCGGUCUAAGGCCGUCCGAGUUGUAAUCUAGAGAGGUGUUUUCCGUGCCGGACCGUGUACAAUUCCCUUGGAACAGGGCGUCAUAGAGGGUGAGAAUCCCGUCCAUGACACGGACUACCGGUGCUCUGUGAUACACCUUCAAAGAGUCGAGUUGUUUGGGAAUGCAGCUCAAAAUGGGUGGUAAAUUCCAUCUAAAGCUAAAUACAGGCGAGAGACCGAUAGCGAACAAGUACCGUGAGGGAAAGAUGAAAAGAACUUUGGAAAGAGAGUUAAACAGUACGUGAAAUUGUUGAAAGGGAAACGCUUGGAGUCAGUCGCGUCUGCCAGGACUCAGCCUUGCUUCUGCUUGGUGCACUUCUUGGUGGAUGGGCCAGCAUCGAUUUUGAUCGCCGGAAAAGGGYGGGAGGAAUGUGGCAGCUUUUGCUGUGUUAUAGCCUUCUGUCGUACACGGUGGUUGGGAUCGAGGACUGCAGCACGCCUUUGGUCGGGGUUCGCCCACGCCACGUGCUUAGGAUGCUGGCGUAAUGGCUUUAAACG